AGUGGACGCUGGCGGUAGGCCUAACACAUGCAAGUCGAACGGCAGCACAGUAAGAGCUUGCUCUUACGGGUGGCGAGUGGCGGACGGGUGAGGAAUACAUCGGAAUCUACUUUUUCGUGGGGGAUAACGUAGGGAAACUUACGCUAAUACCGCAUACGACCUACGGGUGAAAGCAGGGGAGCUUUGGACCUUGCGCGAUUGAAUGAGCCGAUGUCGGAUUAGCUAGUUGGCGGGGUAAAGGCCCACCAAGGCGACGAUCCGUAGCUGGUCUGAGAGGAUGAUCAGCCACACUGGAACUGAGACACGGUCCAGACUCCUACGGGAGGCAGCAGUGGGGAAUAUUGGACAAUGGGCGCAAGCCUGAUCCAGCCAUACCGCGUGGGUGAAGAAGGCCUUCGGGUUGUAAAGCCCUUUUGUUGGGAAAGAAAAGCAGCAGGUUAAUACCCCGCUGUUCUGACGGUACCCAAAGAAUAAGCACCGGCUAACUUCGUG
rnacentral:rRNA from 1 species